GCCAAUGCCCUUCAGAAAUUCUUUAAAUUUACCAAACACACUCCAAAAUUCCAAUUUGUCUCAGCCCCCUUCGGACGAGGUUCCAUGGCAAGAAACCCCGAUCUUUCCAUGACCCCUUGGAAAUUGCCAUGAAUUGUUAGAGACCCCUUUGGAAAUCAUCAGAUUAUUCCUGACCCCUUCAGAAAUUUUCAGUUCAACAACAACGCUCUCAGAAAUUGGAAUUUUCAAGACCCCUUCAGAAAUGAAAAAUUUGGGGACCUUCGGAAACAUGGAAUUUUC